ACUCCUACGGGAGGCAGCAGUGGGAAUAUUGCACAAUGGGCGCAAGCCUGAUGCAGCCAUGCCGCGUGUGUGAAGAAGGCCUUCGGGUUGUAAAGCACUUUCAGUCGUGAGGAAGGUAGUGUAGUUAAUAGCUGCAUUAUUUGACGUUAGCGACAGAAGAAGCACCGGCUAACUCCGUGCCAGCAGCCGCGGUAAUACGGAGGGUGCGAGCGUUGUCCGGAUUUAUUGGGUUUAAAGGGUGCGUAGGCGGCCUGUUAAGUCAGUGGUGAAAGGUAUCAGCUCAACUGAUGACGUGCCAUUGAAACUGGCGGGCUUGAGUACAGACGAGGUAGGCGGAAUUUAUGGUGUAGCGGUGAAAUGCAUAGAUACCAUAAAGAACACCGAUAGCGAAGGCAGCUUACUAGGCUGAGACUGACGCUGAGGCACGAAAGCGUGGGGAGCGAACAGGAUUAGAUACCCUGGUAGCCU
rnacentral:rRNA from 1 species